rnacentral:tRNA from 1 species
GCUAAGGAUAUAGCUCAGUGGUAGAACACUUAACUGGUAUUCAUGAGGCCCUCAAUUCAAUCCUCAGUACAGCA